rfam:Octopus bimaculoides Scaffold91747_contig_38, whole genome shotgun sequence.
GAAUUUCUUCGGCAACACUGUUAAUAAAAUUGGAAGGAUACAGAUAGGAAUAGCAUAGUAUCUGCGCAAGGAUGAUAACUCAAAUUCGUGUAUCGUUCCAUAUUUUG